rnacentral:rRNA from 1 species
UACGGAGGGCGCAAGCGUUGUUCGGAAUCACUGGGCGUAAAGCGCGUGUAGGCGGCUUAGCAAGUCGGAUGUGAAAUCCCGAGGCUCAACCUCGGAACUGCACUCGAAACUGCUUGGCUUGAGUCCCGGAGAGGGUGGCGGAAUUCCCGGUGUAGGGGUGAAAUCCGUAGAUAUCGGGAGGAACACCAGUGGCGAAGGCGGCCACCUGGACGGUGACUGACGCUGAGACGCGAAAGCGUGGGGAGCAAACAGG